UGAUAACACUGAAUUUGAGGAGCUAGCAAAAAUGAUUUUAAUACAUAUAUGUUUGAAAAAUACAUAUAUGUGAUGUGACAUGAAAUUGUAGUUGAUAAUCGAGCUAGAGAAUAAGUCCGUUAUUCCCGGAUAGUUCUUCAUCAAGUUGUUCAUCUGGUUCAAACAACUUCAUUAAACGGGCUUGUUGAUUCUCUCUUUUUUUCCGUUGCCACCUCUUGUACAGGAUAACGCAUAAAAGAGCAACUAAAAGGACAACACAUAGCGCGAGGCUCACGAGUAUAAUCGAGCUUAUCUUCGACUUUCCGGUCAAAUUAAUAUUCACUUCAUCACUCGUAUAAUCAGAUGCGGAUAAAUUGUCAGCCGCACCUACGUACCCAACAUAACAAAAUAUUUCCAUCAAAAUUUACUACCCUUCUUAUCAAUUUGUACAAAAAUUCAAAAAACGUUGUAAAUGUUUGACACGCAAAUUAAGAUUUAUUUCCUAAACGGGAAACUUAUUCAUGACAUCUAAUCUAACGAUUUGUAUCGAUCAUCUUAACUCCAUCUGUGUGUGUGCGUGAGAGAGAGAGAGAGAGCUAGCAUACCUGGAAUCAAUCGAACAGCUAAUGAAACGAAGAGAAAUGAGUAGAUGUCGAAGAUGCUGAGACUUUUUAUUUUACUCAUCUUUUUUGUUUUAAUUUGGUUUUCCUUGGCUAAUUUGGCUUCGUUUUUCGUG
rnacentral:lncRNA from 1 species